rnacentral:rRNA from 1 species
ACGCUCGACACCUACGGGAGGCAGCAGUUGGGAAUAUUGGACAAUGGAGGGAACUCUGAUCCAGUGACGCCGCGUGAAGGAAGAAGGUCUUCGGAUUGUAAACUUAUUUUAUCAGGGAAGAAAGAAAUGACAGUACCUGAAGAAGAAGGACCGGCUAACUACGUGCCAACAGCCGCGGUAAUCUGAGCGGGCUGGCAAGGC